rnacentral:rRNA from 1 species
AUUGAACGCUGGCGGCAGGCCUAACACAUGCAAGUCGAGCGGAGCGGCGGACGGGUGAGUAAUGCCUAGGAAUCUGCCUGGUCGUGGGGGAUAACGUCCGGAAAGGGGCGCUAAUACCGCAUACUAUCAGAUGAGCCUAGGUCGGAGUAGCUAGAGGGGGGGGUAAAGGCCUACCAAGGCGACGGUCCGUAACUGGUCUGAGGGUGUGAUCAGUUCCACUUGAACGGAGACACUGUCCAGACUCCUACGGGAGGCAGCAGUGGGGAAUAGUGGACAAUGGGCGAAAGCCUGAUCCAGCCAUGCCGCGGGUGUGAAGAAGGUCUUCGGAUUGUAAAGCACUUUAAGUUGGGAGGCGUUACCAACAGAAUAAGCACCGGCUAACUUCGUGCCAGCAGCCGCGGUAAUUC